UGGGAAUAUUGCACAAUGGGGGAAACCCUGAUGCAGCCAUGCCGCGUGUGUGAAGAAGGCCUUCGGGUUGUAAAGCACUUUCAGUAGGGAGGAAAGGGUGAGUCUUAAUACGGCUCAUCUGUGACGUUACCUACAGAAGAAGGACCGGCUAACUCCGUGCCAGCAGCCGCGGUAAUACGGAGGGUCCGAGCGUUAAUCGGAAUUACUGGGCGUAAAGCGUGCGCAGGCGGUUUGUUAAGCGAGAUGUGAAAGCCCUGGGCUCAACCUAGGAAUAGCAUUUCGAACUGGCGAACUAGAGUCUUGUAGAGGGGGGUAGAAUUCCAGGUGUAGCGGUGAAAUGCGUAGAGAUCUGGAGGAAUACCGGUGGCGAAGGCGGCCCCCUGGACAAAGACUGACGCUCAUGCACGAAAGCGUGGGGAGCAAACAGGAUUAGAUACCCUGGUAGUCCACGCCGUAAACGAUGUCUACUCGGAGUUUGGUGUCUUGAACACUGGGCUCUCAAGCUAACGCAUUAAGUAGACCGCCUGGGGAGUACGGCCGCAAGGUU
rnacentral:rRNA from 1 species